rnacentral:rRNA from 1 species
GUGCCAGCAGCCGCGGUAAUACGGAGGGUGCAAGCGUUGUCCGGAAUCAUUGGGUGUAAAGGGUGCGUAGGCGGGCUAUUAAGUCUGGGGUGAAAUCUUGCCGCUUAACGGUAAAAUGGCCUUGGAUACUGGUAGUCUUGAGUGUAGAAGAGGCAGGUGGAAUUCGUAGUGUAGCGGUGAAAUGCAUAGAUAUUACGAAGAACAUCAGUGGCGAAGGCGGCCUGCUGGUCUACAACUGACGCUGAGGCACGAAAGCGUGGGGAGCGAACAGGAUUAGAUACCCUGGUAGUCCACGCUGUAAACGAUGCAUACUAGGUGUUGGCCUUUUGGGGUCAGUGCUGCAGUUAACGCAUUAAGUAUGCCACCUGGGGAGUACGUCGGCAACGAUGAAACUCAAAUGAAUUGACGGGG